ACGUAGGGUGCGAGCGUUAAUCGGAAUUACUGAGCGUAAAGCGUGCGCAGGCGGUUCGCUAAGACAGGUGUGAAAUCCCCGGGCUUAACCUGGGAAUGGCGCUUGUGACUGGCGGGCUGGAGGACGGCAGAGAGGGGUGGAAUUCCCCGAGUAGCGGUGAAAUGCGUAGAUAUGGGGAGGAACACCGAUGGCGAAGGCAGCCUCCUGGGCCGAUCCUGACGUUCAUGCACGAAAGCGUGGGGAGCAAACAG
rnacentral:rRNA from 1 species